ensembl:snRNA U6 U6 spliceosomal RNA
GCGCUCGCUUCAGCAGCACACAUACCAAAAUCAGAAUGACACAGAGAAGAUUAGCAAGGAUGACUCACACAUUGGUGAACCAUUCUAUAAAACA